GCCUACGGGGCGCAGCAGUGGGGAAUAUUGCACAAUGGGGGAAACCCUGAUGCAGCGACGCCGCGUGAAGGAAGAAGUAUUUCGGUAUGUAAACUUCUAUCAGCAGGGAAGAAAAUGACGGUACCUGACUAAGAAGUCCCGGCUAACUACGUGCCAGCAGCCGCGGUAAUACGUAGGGGGCAAGCGUUAUCCGGAAUUAUUGGGUGUAAAGGGUGCGUAGACGGGAAAUUAAGUUAGUUGUGAAAUCCCUUGGCUUAACUGAGGAACUGCAACUAAAACUGAUUUUCUUGAGUACUGGAGAGGAA
rnacentral:rRNA from 1 species